AGAGGAAUAUGACUGGUAACAACUGGAUCACCUCGGUGCCACUAGUGAAUGACCUGUUAGACAACCUUCAACUGAUGUAUGUCGGAACUCUCCAUGCAAACAAACAGGAAAUUCCUGUGUAAAAGACUGAUAUAAAGAUGAAGAAGCCAGGUCAAACUGCUUUCCUUUUUGACCAUCAAAUAACCAUGAUUGCUCACAUUCCUAAGAAAAAAAAUCCUGAAACACAAAAAAAAGAAGCUGGUCCUAUUGCUCGCAUUAGUUCACACCCAACCUGGUAUCUGUUAGAAUGGAAAACCGGAAAUAAUCGAGCAUUAUAACAGCACUAAAGGUGGUGUAGACACAUUUGAUCAAAUGUGCUCAAUAUAUUCAACCAGCAGGAAAACAAAGCUAUGGCCCAUCGCUCUAUUCUAUGGCAUUAUUAACGCUGCCAUCAUCAAUGCCUUUGUGAUAUACUCUAAGGUUAAUGCAAAACAUGACAUGAAUCAAAUGGAACGCCAUGAAUUCAUUGGCUAAGGAACUCAUCAAUCUAUGGGCAGAGGAAUGACUAUCAUUUCCAGGCCAGCAGUGUAGUAUUCUUCCCGAGUUCAACAUCCCCCAACAAGUUCCAACUGAGCAGACCACAAAGAAGAGAUGUGGACUAUGUACAGUGAAAAAGGACAGAAAUACAAAGUACCAGUGCAUCUCUGCAAGAAACCUGUGUAUCUGGAGCACUCGUCUGCCCUCUGCAUGGACUGCAACUAAACCAUAAACUGGCUGGACCAUUUGCAUUGGGGUCUCCCCACCACCAAGACCCAUCAUCCCACCAGGUCUGACAGCAGUACCAGCAUCGCUGUGAACUUCAGAUUUGGUGGGGAAGGGGGACAUUUAAACAAAAAUGGUAACGAAACUGAACGUGAUAUCCUGUCGAGGCAACGAAGUUUUGAAAAAUUCGUGGAAUUAUUAACUUCUUCUACCGAGCCAAAGAAGUAGUGAAAAAAUCCGAAGAUUUUCAUAAAAAUCCUGAGACACUGUG